rnacentral:tRNA from 1 species
UAAGUGGAAGCCAAAGGCACCUAUUUGUUAAUUAGGCCCGUGCUAAACUAGCCCACUUAG